ensembl:snoRNA
UCUGGCAAUGAUGACACACUUGCCCUCACUGAGAACACUGUUCAGUAAUGAGAGCCUCACAGUGUGCACAGCUGAGCCGGG